UACGGAGGGGGCUAGCGUUGUUCGGAAUUACUGGGCGUAAAGCGCACGUAGGCGGUUUUCUAAGUUUGGUGUGAAAUCUCCCGGCUUAACUGGGAGGGUGCGCCGAAAACUGGAAGGCUUGAGUAUGGGAGAGGUAAGCGGAAUUCCUGGUGUAGCGGUGAAAUGCGCAGAUAUCAGGAGGAACACCGGUGGCGAAGGCGGGACUCUGGGCCGAUACUGACGCUGAGGAGCGAAAGCGUGGGGAGCAAACAGG
rnacentral:rRNA from 1 species